CGCAAGCCUGACGGAGCAAGACCGCGUGGGGGAUGACGGCCUAAUGGUUGUAAACCCCUUUUCUCUGGGAAGAAGACUGACGGUACCAGAGGAAUCAGCCUCGGCUAACUCCGUGCCAGCAGCCGCGGUAAUACGGAGGAGGCAAGCGUUAUCCGGAAUUAUUGGGCGUAAAGCGUCCGUAGGUGGUUAUUCAAGUCUGCUGUCAAAGCGUGGGGCUUAACUCCAUAGAGGCAGUGGAAACUGGAUGACUUGAGUGCGGUAGGGGUCGAGGGAAUUCCCAGUGUAGCGGUGAAAUGCGUAGAGAUUGGGAAGAACACCGGUGGCGAAAGCGCUCUACUGGGUCGCACCUGACCCUCAGGGACGAAAGCUAAGGUAGCG
rnacentral:rRNA from 1 species